GUUACAUAAUCCGUCUGGAUGUUUCUCCUGCAGCCUGGGAGGUUCUCAAAGCUUUACUCAGUCAUCUUUGUGUCUCCAGGGACCUUCUUUGUCCUGGAGAGGCCCCUCUGAACGUUUCGGGCGCUCUUCCCUGACCGAAGGACUGUGCCGGGUUCAAAUUCCGACGCUGCCGGCUGGUGGAUUACUUGCUGGUCAUCAGGGGGAAAACAAUGACAGCGGAAAAAUCUCACCCCUCCCACCUUAACGUAGAUGAAUCUUAUCACCACUAAACGUUGACCUACCCGAUAUAUUAUGUGUCUCCAGCAUCAUCUGUGAGUAUUGUUUCCAAAAAUCUUUAACUUCAA